UGUUGUGUAGUUUGGUCGGAUCGAAGCUUUCUUCGUUUCUCUCUCUUGAAGAAUCUGGGUGUGGGCGUGGCAGAGUCUAGAAGAGUUCAGCGGCAGCGUUGGAGUUGCUUUGGACUAAUUCAUCACUCAGCUUAAGCUUCAGUUUCUUGUUUGAUAGAACCAUUCUGCUCUCUCAAACCCUUGACAGACACAGUCACAAAACCAAAGAAAGUGUUUUGGGGAAGACACAAACAAACGACGCCGUACAUUCGGAGGGCAUGGGUCACACUUGGCAGAGCACAACUUAAUUUUGGUGAGCCUGAUAAUGCUAUUGAAAGCUUUGACCGUGCUUUAGCUCUCAAGCCAGCUGUGUCUCCAGCAAAACCUCCAGAAAGCCCGGAUGAAGAGGUCAAUGAUCCCCUGUACCUGAUGACAUUGACCAUCCCACAACUAUUUUUGAAGUCGCUCCAGGUUAUGUGGGAUGCUACCAUAUUCGGGGUGUUUAAUCAAAACUUCCCGUUGUAUAUAAAGCACGAAGAUCUCUCUGAAAUUGCACACGGUGGUCAAUGUCUCAGCAUAUCUGUUAUACAGUUGUG